GGCAUGAUGUCCGAGUGGUUAAGGAGUAUGACUUGAAUGUGGAGCUAUCAUAUGCGAUUUCGCGCGCAGGUUCGAAUCCUGCUCAUGUCG
rfam:Pneumocystis jirovecii RT7 supercont1.8, whole genome shotgun sequence.